GGGACUCAAGAGCGCGAGCCCUGCUCACGCCAGGGGUGGCUGCCUGCGUCCUGCUUAACGGAGGCAGCCGGACCCACGAGUCACGUUUUCCUCCCACAUCAACGGAUCGUUCAAAACAGAAUCCUGGGCAUCUCGUAGCUGCGCGGGGGACCUAACGGCCGCGCAGCCGGGCGGGCGGAAGCGCAGUGGCGGCAUCGCUGUCACCCCCGGGCGUGGCCUCCUGGGACCAGCGGAGAGGCGUGGGUGAGCCCGGAGAUGGGCGGUUGAGCGGAGCCGCCGGGCCCAACCGCCGUUGCCCGGUCCCGGUGGUGGGUGCGCAGCGCUGUCCCUGUGGCUGGCAGGCGGGAGGACGAGCUUCCGAGCUGGGCUCGGGUAGAGGAAGCAGUACCUUAAAGAAGAAUUGGAGGGCGAGUCAAUUCUUAGUAUAGCAGAGAGAUGGAGAGCAACAAACAGGAUGUGAGGAAAUAGAAGCACAGUGAGGCUGAAUGACCUUCCCCAAAUCACACAAUGCAAGUGUCAGAGCUAGGAUUGAAACCCAGGAUGCCUGGCUCCAGAAUCCAUGCUCUUAGCUACACUUGCUUUAAAGGAAUUUUGUUUUUUUUGUUUUUUGUUUUUUUUGGCUGCCCUGAGCAGCUUGUGAGAUUUCAGUUUUCCGACCAGGGAUUGAACCUGGGUCACAGCCUUGAAAGCGCUGAAUCCUAACCAGGGAACCCACCCCCGCCAAAAAUUUUUUAAUAG